UAUCGCUCCAUGAAGUGGCUGUCUUUUGACAACUCCUAUGAAUUGAACGGAAGGUCUUGACCUUAGUAUGGCACUACUCAAGCUCUUCACUAUUUAACGGAGUGAAGUCAUACAGUAUUGGUCUCUCCGUGGCUGACUUAGAGAAAUCCUCUCUUCUCCCAAGUCAGACACCAGGACGUCAACUCCAGGAGCACAGCUGUGUUGCAAGAUGGCAGCAGGAGCACAUUCAGUCUCUUGUGGGGCGAACAGAAGUGUCGCGCAGCGCGCGUGUUUUCCAGGCCUCGUUCUUCUAAAGUGGACCCCCACAUUUCUAGAGAGAAAAAGGGAAAAAACAUGACGCAUGUCUGACACUUGCUAUAAUUGUGAGGUAAAUGGCUACCCCUGGUACGGUCAAUACUGGACUGGACUCUACCCAGACUGGGAGUUCCAUUUUGGCGUUCACAUGUAGGAUCCUAACUCUGAUUUAGCAAAACAUAUUCCCACCGAGAUCAGGUCAGCUUCAUCAUCUCUGAGGAUAGCGAGUUACUGCAGUUGAUGGAGCAAGUGGUCUUGGUGGUUUUCGUUCUGGGUGGGCAGUGACCACAAAUGCAGCGAUUUCCUGUGUAAAUGGAGGGUAUUGCCAGAGGCAGAAGAGCAGCAAGGCCUUUCCUCUGCAAGCAACAGGCUGUGCAAGACCCCUGCUAACAAAGCACUUCUACCUCUCCGGUACCAGUACGUUGUUUGUGUGUCACGGAGGUAUUCUUUCUUCCUUCUAAAAAGAAGAAAAUUAUUACUAGAGAUACUUCCAGGACUUGUUCAAGAUCCUCAGACCUUAGCAAUACCCAGAACCUCAAGUCAGGUUUUUAUGGUCCUAGUUCAGUUCUAUUUUUAUAGCACAACCAUCCUUUGAACCCGAGAGGAAGUCUUCUCUGACAGUUCUGUGACAAUGACAUGGAGGGACUUGAAGAUGAAGAUGUUCAUCUUUAUAACAAGAUCCGAAGAUAAUUACUCGUUGAUUCAUUCUCUGGUGAAUUUACUGUGGAUUCUCUCUAGUGACCGGACGAUGGAUGCUGCGGCCAGUCGGAGUGAUAAACUUACAGAUGUAAAGAACCCGACUGACAUCCAGCUGGCCUACCAGAACAAGACUGUAGAUUCAAAGAGGAACAUUUUAGGAGAGAAGGAAACUAAUUCCUACAAGUCCAAAAACCUGCUGUUGCUAUGAUAUGUAAUGGUUCUUUGACACUAAAAAGACUAAUACACCAGAAUCUGAGGGGUGAGUCAACUGUUUCGUGCUCUGCAAUGACUAAGGAUCGUGGCUGUACACACAAAUACCUGUGAGAAUGCACAGGAGUAGUUGCUAAUGCAUGAACUUAACUUACUGUAGAUUACAAUACUUUACUUUGUCUUGUUCAUUCACAUUCCAUUUUUAACUGGCUCAUUUACUCUUGCGUCCUGCAAUUACUUAUGGAAAACCGACUGUGGCCCUGGCAACUACUAUGGUCUGGGAAUGUGCAGUAUGAGAUAUGAACUAUAAACUAAACAGUCCACAUCAGAUAGUACCAAGUGCUAUGAGAAAAUAAAAUGAAGAGCAUAGAUAGUGCUGGGAGGCACUAUUAUACGUAGACUGGUACUGGAAGGUCUUUUAAUAAUAUUUGAGCUACAGAAGAAAAAUUGAAUGAUGUGGAUUAAUGGAUAAGAGUAUUUCAGAAGAAGGAGGAAACAGCAAGUCCAUGAAGUAAAAAAAAAAAAGGCUUGUGAUGGGUAUUAAGGAGGGCCCACGUUGUGAAGAGCACCGGGUGUUCGACACAACUAAUGAAUUGUUGAACGCUACGUCAAACCCAAUGAUACGCUGGCUAACUAAACGCGAGGGGAAAAAAGCCUUGUAUGUUCAAGGAACAUCAGAGUGUUGGCUCUAACAAAUGUACCAACAUUUAGGAAGAUGAAAGAAGAAUAAUUAUUAAGACAUCAAACAGAGUAAAUCCAUCGAGAAAGCCCAAGCUCUUAGAAUUCAACACCCGUGCUGUGCGUACUACAGAAACGUGAGAGCUGUUUAAGCUCCGGCAUCUGUAUGAUACAGAGGUUGGAGGUUCAAGUCAAGCUAGUAGGAACCCUAUUCUAAUGAGCUCCAUAGUCUCCUUCCAUUGUUCAUUAUGCAUUAAAUAGUAUCUUAAAGGUAGGAUCAUCUGAAGUUCUGGUACUUCAAUAGAGAUUUUCACUUUUUUUUUUCUUUUGCUCUAGUAAUUUGGUGAUUCUCAAAUUUUCAUGUGCAUGCACAUUACUACACACAAUCCUGCACACAAAACUAGGUCAGAAUUGUCUGAGAAUACCACCCCCCUAAAAAAACCUCAGUCGCCCUCCAAGUUCUCUGUCUCUCACUGACUUCUACUGUUCAGAGAAGAAUUUGUUAGAACUAACCCUACUUAUACAGAGAUUUCACAGUUGAAAUUUAUGCCAAUAACCUCUAUUUAAUAUUCAUGCAGCAUUUGACUAAAAUACUCUGACUUAACAUUAUGAAAAUAUUAUUUCAGAAACAUUUAUAUUGGUCAGAAUAUACACUGGAGUUAAUUCCAAAAACAAUCUAAAGGCAAAAGCUUAGAGUGAGCAAUUAGCUAAACCUUCUGUUGAGUUUGAUAAAAGGAAACCUUUGUAAAUAUGGACGCAGUGCAGUAGCAUUUUCUAAUAGUUUACGUCUCUUGUUACACAUUAUAUGCCCAAUAACUGUCUUUUCUUCCCAUGAAUGAAACCUUCACUUCUGUGUAAUAAUUGUAAUAUUAACUAAAAUUUUGACUAAAUUCUUGUUAAUCUCCAGAUAUCUUUUUUUAGUGUUAUUAGUAUUUGGUUAUAAUACAGGCUUUUAAGAACCAUAUGUUUGAGGAUUUUUGAUUAGUAAAGGAAAAAAUAAUUUUGAACUUGGGUUAUGUGUUAAUAUAGAAUGAAAAUACACACACACAUACAUACACACGCAUGGACACACGUAAUACUGAUCAUGUGAUACACUUAGGGGUACACUUGGAGUUUUUAUACGCUG